CGUGUGCUGCCAAAUUUGAUGUGACUGAUACCUGCAGCACGAGACCACGACGACACUAACACACACUCACCGGUGUGUGAGGGAGCUGUUACCGACAUUAAUCACCGGCCACAGAUACAGAUAAUGUGCACGUUAAUGUAAACUACGGUAUUUACCGACUACGCCCUCGGUACCGGAGCCCCGGAGCCCCGGAGCGGCGGCGGGACCGGAGCCACAUCAGCCCCGGGGCGGACAGGACAGGACAGGGAAAUCAACAUGUGGAGCUGCAGUCUGUGGGCUCUUCUUCCUCCAGUCUACUCUCUGAUCAUCGCUGCUGGACUCUGGCUGGUAUAUUUUAUAGCUGUCGCUGAAGAGAAGAUAAUACCUCUGGGCUCAAAAUACAAGAGAAGAAAUGGAUCCUAUUAUCCCUUCAUCAGUCUUGCAGGCAACUUUCCACCAGCCAGCUGCAUCUUCAGCGAGGUCAUGAACAUUGCUGCGUUUGUGGGUGAGACAGAGCAAUAUAUUGAUAUUUUUUAUGAUUAUGUGCAUACAUGUUUGUGCCAUAAGUUGAAUAAAGCCAACGGUCCAUUUUUAAAAACUUUUAUGCCUCUGUGCUGCAGAUAGGCGAGACCGGAGGCAUCAUGUUUUCGGGU